GAUCAUUAAUGAAUUAUCUUGGAAACAAGAGAAAUUCUCACCAUUGUGAACUUAACUGUUGCUUCGGUGAAUUCGUUAGAUUAUUGAGUCUAUAAGUCUAUCUUAUCUGAAGAAAGAGCAUUCUAUUAAGUUAGAUGUGAUCGCCUUCGAAAAUUACUUUAAGACGAGAUAAUUUGACCUUGGGAUCAUGUUGAAAUUAUCUUGCUUCGAAACAAGUACUCUUUGUGAGGAACGGCUCCAAGUGAUAAUUUUAAGAGUAUCUGGGUUCAUCGAAUUUUUUUAACCUGAUUAUAUUUGAAGUCUGAGAAAUUUGAAAUUAAACAAAACUUUCAACAACGGAUCUCUUGGUUCUGGCAUCGAUGAAGAACGCAGCGAAAUGCGAUAAGUAAUGUGAAUUGCAGAAUUCAGUGAAUCAUCGAAUCUUUGAACGCACAUUGCACUCUUUGGUAUUCCGAAGAGUAUAUUUAUUUGAGCGUCAUUUAACUCUCAAGUUAUUCUUAUUUUACUUUGAAGAUGAUUUUAUUAUCGUUGGAUAGCAUGAUAAGUUGUACUUGGUCUUGGAGAAUUUCAUUUGAAAUCUCUUAAAAUAAUUGGUGAUUUAAAAUAAGAUCAAAAGUCGCAAUGUCAUCUUAUGAUUGAACUUUUAAGUCCUCCAGAUAAACUUUGGUUGUUAACAUAAGGAAGACAAUUUUGAAAGUUGAUCUUAUUAAGUUAAGACAACAAUCUUNAGAGUCGAAAUUAUCUUAACCCAAAAUCUAAACUUGACCUCAAAUUAAAUAAGGUUACCCGCUGAACUUAAGCAUAUCAAUAAGCGGAGGAAAAGAAACCAACAGGGAUUACCUCAGUAACGGCGAGUGAAGCGGUAAAAGCUCAAAUUUGAAAUCUCCCAUCAGGGCGAAUUGUAAUUUGAAGAGGAUGUUUUUGAGGGACGAUUAAUCAAAUUACUUUGGAAUAAGUACUCAUAGAGGGUGAGAAUCCCGUCUAAGAUUAAUCUAAACUCAGUUAAAAACUCCUUCGAAGAGUCGAGUUGUUUGGGAAUGCAGCUCUAAAUUGGAGGUAUAUUUCUUCUAAAGCUAAAUAUUGGCCAGAGACCGAUAGCGCACAAGUAGAGUGAUCGAAAGAUGAAAAGCACUUUGAAAAGAGAGUUAAAAAGUACGUGAAAUUGUUGAAAGGGAAACGUUUAUUAAAAGACUUUUUAACUAUGUUCACCAUGUCUUUGACUUGGGCAUUCAUACGUUACGAAGACCAACAUCAGUUUAUGAAGUUAGACAAAAUUAAGGUGGAAUGUACGCUUGCUCGCAAUGUGUUAUACGCCACUUAAAUAAUUUGACCUGAGUAGA
rnacentral:rRNA from 1 species